UUUGCAUAAGCAGCCACAUCUCCACCUACAAAACCUCUAUAAAAUCAUCACUACUAUCAGCACAUCAUAGUCGUCCCCCAUGGAGAAGUCCAGUUUGAAUGCAAUUUGUCUGUCCGAAAAAACAAAAACACUUGAUACAGAAAGUGAAACAAAAUAUAGUAUAGAAAGGGUACUACACUAAAAUAUUAUAAACAUUAAAAUGCUAGGUUAGCAUCUUACAUUCU
rnacentral:misc_RNA from 1 species